rnacentral:rRNA from 1 species
UACGUAGGGGGCAAGCGUUGUCCGGAAUCAUUGGGCGUAAAGCGCGUGUAGGCGGCUUGGUAAGUCUGCUCUGAAAGCCCGGGGCUCAACCCUGGGAGGCGGGUGGAUACUGCCGAGCUCGAGUCCGGAAGAGGCGAGUGGAAUUCCUGGUGUAGCGGUGAAAUGCGCAGAUAUCAGGAGGAACACCAAUGGCGAAGGCAGCUCGCUGGGACGGUACUGACGCUGAGACGCGAAAGCGUGG